rnacentral:rRNA from 1 species
CCUACGGGGCGCAGCAGUGGGGAAUAUUGCGCAAUGGGCGAAAGCCUGACGCAGCGACGCCGCGUGAGGGAUGAAGGUCUUCGGAUCGUAAACCUCUGUCAGCAGGGAAGAACGGUCACUGUGCUAAUCAGCAGUGAAUUGACGGUACCUGCAAAGGAAGCACCGGCUAACUCCGUGCCAGCAGCCGCGGUAAUACGGAGGGUGCGAGCGUUAAUCGGAAUUAUUGGGUUUAAAGGGUGCGCAGGCGGAAUGUCAAGUCAGCGGUAAAAUUUCGGGGCUCAACCCCGUCGUGCCGUUGAAACUGGCGUUCUUGAGUGAGCGAGAAGUAUGCGGAAUGCGUGGUGUAGCGGUGAAAUGCAUAGAUAGCACGCAGAACUCCGAUUGCGAAGGCAGCAUACCGGCGCUCAACUGACGCUCAUGCACGAAAGCGUGGGUAUCGAACAGGAUUAGAUACCCCUGUAGUC